rnacentral:lncRNA from 1 species
UGCCCACUAGCAAGUCAGGUCAUGUCACCUCGUACACUUGGUCCUAAUAAAUUAGGAAAGCGUCGUAAAUUACCGAUGUCGCACAAAGUCAAAUAUUGCAAUCAGCCAAUCACCUUCAGCGCAUAAAAGAAAAAAGAAGUGCAAUUAUGCUGUUGUUCACGAAUUCUACUUUUUCAAAACAUAGUAAAUAUGCAUAGGCUCAUAUCACAUACA